rnacentral:lncRNA from 1 species
UUUUUUUUUUUUUUUUUUGGUUUUUCGAGACAGGGUUUCUCUGUAUAGCCCUGGCUGUCCUGGAACUCACUUUGUAGACCAGGCUGGCCUCGAACUCAGAAAUCCGCCUGCUUCCCAAGUGCUGGGAUUAAAGGUGUGCACCACUAUUACCUGGCUGUAUACACUAUUUUCUAAUUAUCAUAAAAUGAUAUAAAAUGUCUGAUUUGUUUUUUAGUUGGGACAUACUUAUUUUUCUCUGAGAAUAUGUUAUUCCUUUUUAUCUUGUGAGGAUUUUACUAAUAAGAGACCUUCAUAUAUUGUUGGUAUCAAUGCUUUAACUCAGGAAAUAAUAGAAACAUUUUUUCAGUAAGAGUUUGGCUUUGUUUAUUCUACCAAACUUUGUUAAAACAAAAUUUUAAAUAUCUCUGUAUGGGCAUCUGUGUCAGAGGACAAUGUCUGGAAGUCUCCUUCCACGGUGUCGGUCCCAAGGAUCAAACUCAGUUCCUCUGGUUUAGCAGCAGUCGGGUUUUAUAUGUUGAGCCCUCUUGUCAGCCCCUGCUCUGCUAAACUUUGAAAUUAUGGUCAUGUGAUCCUAGCUCCAUCAGUUGUUUCCCCACCCCCAGCUCUUGGUUGUGGCUGGCAGAACAGAAUGGCGACCGCUUUAAGAAACUGAUAGGAAUUAAAGGGCAGAUGGGUAAGUAGGGGUCUGACAGGCUUCUGACAGUGUUAUGUUCAUCCAGGCAAUCUUGGGUUCUUGGUGCAUUUUCUGGUUGAGCCCCGGCUUUGGGCUUGGGGUUCUGCAAUGCUCUGAGGGGAGACAUUGCUGCUCUGAGAGGAGCUAUUGCUGCUGGCUUUUGGACUGCAUUUUACAUAGGUAGCAGGGAGGCCAGAAAUGUCCACAUCUGGCUAAUGGUCGGAGCCUCCUCAGGGGCAUGUUGUAAGUUGCUUCUGAGCUGUUUCCUGGAGACACCAGGCUAUGAGACCAAGUCUCAUGUCUGCCCAGGUGACUUGACUAAUAGGCUAGUCUGAGUCCCUGUGGUCCCUAUCUAUGCAUGUGGAGAAGGCAGGUACUUAUCUCAAGAUAUCUGGGAAAAUUUAAUAAGAGAAAAAUGAGUUAACUAAAUGGAUGUAAUUCUUUGGCAGGUGUUUUCUCUGAUACUUCCAAUAUUUCUAAUCUAAAAACUCUCCUAAAAUAUUAUCAAUUUAUAUAUUUAAAAAUUUCAAAACUCACUGUUGGUGAUUAUAUUCGUUUUAACUCUUUUAAAGACAGACUAUUGUGGCCUGGCCUAGAGCAGCCUCAGAUUCACUGUGUGGCCCAGGCAGGCCUGAAACUCCUGGUGAUCCCCUUGGUCCAGCCUCUCAGGGUCUAGAAUCCUAGGUUUGUGGCACCCUUUCGCAUCUCCUUGUUAAAUAACCGGUCUUGCCCAAGGUGUGCUGGGUUGGACCAUCACAAAUCCGUGUAUCAAAGCCACUGUCAUUUGUUCUGACUGGCUCCUCCGGCCUUUAUUUCUGGUGAUUCAUUUUUUCCUACUGUGGUUUACUCCAGACCUUCUUGGAUUGAAACCAGUUUUUCUCCUUAUUUUGCAAAAGUCCUUAUAAGAUCAGGGGUUUCUCUGUGACUAGAUAUUGUUCUCAUUGAUACUAAUUUAUCUUUUGAGCCUGCAGUUGUGGUUUUGAUUUUUCUCCCCUUCUGACCUUAGAGCUAUUGAGGCAGCUCCCUAGUAAAGCGACCCAGAUGUUUCUUGAGUUAAUGAGGGCUUUGAGCUCAGUGCGCCUGGACUGCUGCUUAGCAUUCUAAGCUGUGAGCCUGCUCCAUAUGGGCCUGGAUGUUGUAGUUAGAGCUUCUUUGCUUGUGGGCGAAGCCUCCAGCACACCCUUAGAGUGCCAGAAGGGGAGUGGUUGCUACCCUGUGUGGAGGGAAGGGGUCUUACAGCCAGCGGGGACUGCUCAACCUCUACGUGACCUUGCCCUCUUUAUUUCUCAAUCCCUAACUAGGUAGCUCAUGAGUCAGUCCUCCUGUGAGGAAGACUGGGGGCCUGGUGGGUGGGGACUGUUGAAGAGCCCUGAGAUUUAGAGCCCUUUGUCAUUGACAGCUUUCAGCUUUGACCUCUGGUUUAGUCCUGGCUUUUGUGUUUGC